rnacentral:rRNA from 1 species
CCUACGGGAGGCAGCAGUGGGGAAUAUUGGACAAUGGGCGAAAGCCUGAUCCGGCCAUGCCGCGUGUGUGAAGAAGGCCUUCGGGUUGUAAAGCACUUUCAGUGGGGAAGAAAGCCUUGGGGCUAAUACCCUCGAGGAAGGACAUCACCCACAGAAGAAGCACCGGCUAACUCCGUGCCAGCAGCCGCGGUAAUACGGAGGGUGCGAGCGUUAAUCGGAAUUACUGGGCGUAAAGCGCGCGUAGGCGGUCUGAUAAGCCGGUUGUGAAAGCCCCGGGCUCAACCUGGGAACGGCAUCCGGAACUGUCAGGCUAGAGUGCAGGAGAGGAAGGUAGAAUUCCCGGUGUAGCGGUGAAAUGCGUAGAGAUCGGGAGGAAUACCAGUGGCGAAGGCGGCCUUCUGGACUGACACUGACGCUGAGGUGCGAAAGCGUGGGUAGCAAACAGGAUUAGAUACCCCAGUAGUC